rnacentral:lncRNA from 1 species
ACUUAGUGAGUUUCCCUUUGUGACUUGGAAGUUGUGGGAAGGGAGAAUCAGUCAGGAAAUGAGGUGUCAGUAGGCUCUUUAGCAAACUCAGCCAGUAGAUGGCUAAAAAAGGACUUGGUUACUUUGGGUCCAUUUUGUCUAUCCAUGGGAUACGACCAUGAGCGCGGGGAAGAGCUCUCUACCUGAGCAUGUGGACUGAAAAGAGUAGAACCUUGGGGGAUCCUGAAGGAAGAGGGGAAACCAGGAAAACAGAGGAAGUUAACUUAGGAGGGGUAAGGGAAGAAGAAUGCAAGAUUGACGUUGCAGAAGCCAGAGGCCAGGGCUAAGAACAGGAGCCUGUGAACUUGUUGUUUCUGAAAAAGGAGUCAGUUGCUAUUGGAAUAUUAUUUAAGGAGACACAUGUCAAUGCCAUUCUACAAAAAUGACACUUGACCCUGGAACUCAGCUUGGCCAAACCUGCCUCCGAUCCAAAUUGUGUUCUCGGUUAUAACUUCAUCAAUGGCGUUUCUCCAAGGCCAAAGUCAAACCUCUGCCAGAGGAAGAUGUAAAUAUUCAGAGCAAAAUAUUGCAUACCUGGCCCACAUGAGUCACUUAUGAGGAAGAGGGAGUUAGUUCUAAGAAUAAUAAUUAUCUUUUGGGUGAGAUUUAAAUUCAGGUCCAGAGCAUCUCUUAGAAAACCAUGGAUACAAGCAGCUUGUUAACAGCAGUAUCAGGUUCUUGGAGUCUGUAUAAAAUCUGGCCCAUCGAUUCAAACAAAACUGGUAUGAAAUAGCAUUUCUCUUCAUGUCUGAGGUUCCAGUGGUGGUUGGCUUCCUUCUUAUUUCUUGCCGUGUGUGGCUGUUUUCUUGCCAGCCUCAGAUUAUGCACUUACGUGUUUUCCAAAAAAUCAAAACCAUUUCCA